GCAACUAUGGUGUAGCGGUUAGCACGGCAUGGCAGUAUCACGCUCGGAGUUUCGGAACAUGUAACCAUGCAGGCUUGGGUUCGAUCCCCGAUGGUUGCG